GGUGGUCGGUGCGGGUCGAAGCUUGAAAUCGGUGGCUACAUGGUUUUAUUUGAGAAACCCUAAUUUUCUUACUCAUUUCAACGGCCGACUUCCCUUCGAUUGGAUCUGAAUCUCCCACUUCUCUCCCUAUGGAUCUGGGAUCUUACUACCCUUCAACCGGAGAUCAUCCAUAAUUACUUCAAUUUCAAUCGGCUACCGGCGUAAACUAAUCACUCUCUUGUUUCAUCUACCAAUUUCAGAACAUAGAUCUUAACUCGGAUUCGCUGUUUCUGCUGAAAGUAUAGGUGAAGGUAAUGUUGAUCGUUUGCUUGCUAAUGUGAUUUUAAGACCAUCUAAUGACAAUUUUAGAGGACAAUAUGGAAAUGUGCUCUACAUCCUCUUACACAUGCUUCAUGGACCUUGACACAGAUGUCAAAAUGUUUGGAUCUCAGGUGAUUCCGACGGUUGCAGCAAAUGACUAGUUGGUACCAUUAACACAUCACUAGUGGCCUUUCUUGCAUCGGGUGCUUCAAUGCGAUACAAGAUGUUGCUUGGUCACUAAUGCAAGUAUGCUUUUUAUGUGAUUUUGUUCAUCAAUAUAGUUGGAUUAAUUUAGAUCAUAAGUUGGGUGAUUUUUAGAUACUUCAAAAGGGUCGGAUCGAAGGGUAAGAAGAUGAAAUGCAUUGUUGGAGAUAAUAAUGCUCUCCCAUUGCUAACGAUAGGAGAGCUUUGCAUGCACCAUGGACUUCCACGAUAGCUACGAGAAAAUCAUUGUUUACAACCAUGCGGUUUUUGGAGUUUAUUUUCAAUAUGCUAAAAUGAGAAUUUUUUGCUUUCCAAUUCUCAUCUAAUAAGGUUUUGGAGUUCUUUAACUCACGGUGUAAGGCUCCAUCUUGUGAGACCCCAAAGGAUGAUGAAGGUAAUCCCAUCCAUGGGAAACACCAUUGUAUAUUUUGAGACGCUGCUUCCAUGUGUGACUAGCAAAUUCAAAAUUAUGUCUUGUGCUCGUCUCACGUGGGGCCAGUGGCUCAAAAUACGCUAUUGGAGUUGUCGAUGGAUAGGAUUCUCUUUAUAAUCCUUGGCAGACGCAACAUCAAGUCUUUCUCCAUGAUUUAAAGAACUCUAAAUUCAUGUUGGAUGAGAAUUCGAAAGUAAAGAAUUCUUAUUUAACACAUUUGGAAAAGGCACACUAAGGGGUGAUGGAGCUAAUCCAUGCUAUGGUCAAAACCGUGCUUAUUUUGGGACGUUUUAUCCAUAUCUAAAGGUGUUAGCGAAUCUGAUUUCACCGUCUCACGUGGGUCAGACGUCUUGAAUAAGCAUAAGCAAUUGAUGUUGUCCAUGGAUAAGACUCUUUGUAAUCCUCGAGUCCCUGGAAUACGCUUGUUUGUAGACAAUAAUCUUCUCCUUGUUUUGUUGGGAGGUCUAAGCUGUUUGUAUUUGCACACUUCCAAUUCAGCUGUUUGUAAACUUACAUAUCCAAUUCAUGUAAUUCUUAAAUUAUGAAGAGCAAUUGAUAUCCUACAGAAAUUGAUCGCA